AAACCAACAGGGAUUGCCUUAGUAGCGGCGAGUGAAGCGGCAAAAGCUCAAAUUUGAAAUCUGGUACUUUCAGUAUCCGAGUUGUAAUUUGUAGAAGCAACUUUGGUGAUGGUCUUUGCAUAAGUUCCUUGGAAUAGGACGUCAUAGAGGGUGAGAAUCCCGUUUAUGGUGAAGAACCCACACUAUGUAAAGUGCUUUCGAAGAGUCGAGUUGUUUGGGAAUGCAGCUCAAAGUGGGUGGUAAAUUCCAUCUAAAGCUAAAUAUUGGCGAGAGACCGAUAGCGAACAAGUACUGUGAAGGAAAGAUGAAAAGAACUUUGAAAAGAGAGUGAAAAAGUACGUGAAAUUGUUGAAAGGGAAGGGAUCUAAAUCAGACAUGGUAUUUUGUGAUCAACAGUCUUUCGGGACUGUGCACUCGCAUUUUACUAGGCCAGCAUCGGUUAGAAGGGGGUAAAAAAGAUUUUGGAAUGUGGCUCCUCGGAGUGUUAUAGCCAAGGUUAAUUGCCCCAUUUCUGACCGAGGACCGCGUCUUUUGACUAGGAUGCUGGCGUAAUGGUUUUGAUCCAC
rnacentral:rRNA from 1 species